ensembl:misc_RNA Metazoa_SRP Metazoan signal recognition particle RNA
ACGGGGUGCAGUGGCUUGUGCCUGUAGUACCAGUUACUCAGGAGGCUGAGGUGGGAGGAUCACUUGAGCCCAGGAGUUCUAGGCUGUAGUGCGCUAUGCUGAUUGGGUGUCCACACUAAGUUCAGCAUCAAUAUGCUGACCUCUCAGGAGCGGGGGACCAGGUUGCCUAAGGAGGGGUGAACUGGCCCAGGUAGGAAACAGAGCAGGUCAAAACUCCCAUGCUGAUCAGUAGUGGCAUCACUCUGUGAAUAGCCAGUGCACUCCAGCCUGGGCAACAUUGCAAGACCCCAUCUCUA